rnacentral:rRNA from 1 species
UUAAAACUCAAAGGAAUUGACGGGGACCCGCACAAGCGGUGGAUUAUGUGGAUUAAUUCGAUGCAACGCGAAAAACCUUACCUACCCUUGACAUGCUAGGAAGCUCGCAGAGAUGUGAGUGUGCCCGAAAGGGAACCUAGACACAGGUGCUGCAUGGCUGUCGUCAGCUCGUGUCGUGAGAUGUUGGGUUAAGUCCCGCAACGAGCGCAACCCUUGCCAUUAGUUGCUACAUUUAGUUGAGCACUCUAAUGGGACUGCCGGUGACAAACCGGAGGAAGGUGGGGAUGACGUCAAGUCCUCAUGGCCCUUAUGGGUAGGGCUUCACACGUAAUACAAUGGCCGGUACAGAGGGCAGCCAACUCGCGAGAGGGAGCUAAUCCCAGAAAGCCGGUCGUAGUCCGGAUUGCAGUCUGCAACUCGACUGCAUGAAGCCGGAAUCGCUAGUAAUCGCGGAUCAGCAUGUCGCGGUGAAUACGUUCCCGGGUCUUGUACACACCGCCCGUCACACCUUGGGAGUGGGUUUCACCAGAAGUAGUUAGCCUAACCGCAAGGGGGGCGACUACCACGGUGAGAUUCAUGACUGGGGUGAAGUCGUAACA